GGGGUUUCCAUAAAAAUUUAGUUAAAGAUUGAAUCCUAACUUCUAGUUUAACUUCUUCUUUUACCAAGGGUUUUUGACCAAGAGUUUUCUUAUUACUUUCUUUAAAUGAGAGAAGGUUGUUAGGUUCUCUUAUUUUAUCAUAGAUACUAGAAUAAGGAGGUGUUUUAGUAUGGAAGGUAAGCAGAUCUUGAGAUAUAACAAGUUCUCGUGAUUCUAACCUAGAGGUUCUAAAAUUUGAAGGCAAUUUUAUUAAGGUUUCCAACUUUCUUGGUAUUUUCCAUGGUAAGUGUGGCCAAAAUUUUCGUGGGUUAUAGAUUUUAAUUCGAUAUAAUUCUAUAUUUUGACUUAAAUAUUUUAACUUAGAAAGAUGUUUAUCUUGAUUAUUCUCUGAUUCUGGUAAAGAUUUAAGGUUAUUGCCUAGAAUCAAGUUUGAAACUGGGUUUGGAACCUCUUUCUGGAUGGAAUUGAUUUCUCCUAGAUGAUUUUUUUCCUGAAAUGGUUUUGUUAAAGGUUCUAAGUUUUUUAUGCUUUGAAUGUUUUCAACCUUUUGAGGAUCACCUAAAGGUUCCGAAUACGUUAAGGUUUUAAUAUUUUUAGAGUUAUCUUUAAGCCUUGAUGUUGUAUUUAUGUCUUCAAGACGAAUUUUAUCUUUAUGUUUAGAGAUUUUAGCAUCUUCAAAUAUUACUUGUUCUGGUAAGUUUUUUAUAGUUUCAAUUAAUUCUUCUUUAGUUAGUUGAUUUGUUAUUGUCUCAGAGUUAAAAUAGGUUGGGGAUUCUUCAAGUUUAGAUUUUUUUUCAUUAGUAGGUUGGUUUUUAAAAUCUUGAGGAGUUAUAUUUUUUAUUUCUGAAGGGGAAUUCUUAGGUUGAAGGUUUUUAUCUUUGUUAUUAGUUUGAAGGCAUGGACAAAGAUAUUCAAUAACCCUUUUAUCCUUGUCUAAAUAUAUUAAUAUUUUCUUGUUUUUACAACUACAUUCACUAUCUUUCUUUAUAGUUUUAAGGCUAUGUUUAUUUUGAGGAUUUGAUCUUAAAUUUGGCACAUAUUUUUCAAUUUUGAAAAUUGGUUUAUCACUAGUUUUGGGUAUUUUUUUAGAUUGACCUAAAUCAUAUUUUUCGAACCAACCAAAGAAUUUGAUCGAAGUUUUGCUUAAUCUUAUAAAGGUAAAAUAUCUAGAUUGAAUUUCUACAGUUUAAGUUAUAUUGUAGGUUCUAAGAAACUAUUGUCUUUUAUAUUCAUUAUGCUUAGCAAAGAAGUCUUCAUUAAAUAAUUCUUUGUAUUCAGAAUCAUCUUUACUAGGGUAGGAUAAGGAUUUGCUUUGAAAUUUUGACUUUAGGUUCAAUAGAUUGGGUUUAAUUUUGGAGAUUGGCAUAGGGCUUAUCUUAGAUUCAGGAUAUGAGAAUGACAGAUGUUGAGAAUAAUAAUCUUGGUUUUCAUUCUCAUUAUCAGAUUUAGAAUAGAGAGAUUGGAUGUCAUUUUGAUCAUCAUUUUGAUAGUCUAAAAUAUUAUCUAGAUACAAAUUGGGAUAUGAAUCCAUUUUUAAUAAAGAAAGUGACUAGGAGAUCUAGAAAAGACUUGAGAAUGGCUGGAAAGUCUAAUAUUUAUAAGGAAGAUGAUUAGCAAAAUUCUCAGGAAUGGUUGAGGUAUGUUAGUUUAUUUAUUAUUUUUAUAAAAAAUUAUUAUUUAAAGAAAGGUUAGAUACCUAGCUACC
rnacentral:lncRNA from 1 species